rnacentral:rRNA from 1 species
UUCCGGUUGAUCCCGCCGGACCCGACCGCUAUCGGGGUAGGGCUAAGCCAUGCGAGUCGUGCGCCCGGGGGCGCCCGGGAGCGGCGCACGGCUCANUAACACGUGCCUAACCUAACCUCGGGAGGGGGAUACCCCCGGGAAACUGGGGUCAAUCCCCCAUAGGGGAAGGGCGCUGGAAGGCCCCUUCCCCGAAAGGGCUGGCGGCCGAUCCGCCGCCAGCCGCCCGAGGGUGGGGGCACGGCCCAUCAGGUAGUUGGCGGGUUAAAGGCCCGCCAAGCCGAAGACGGGUAGGGGCGGUGAGAGCCGUGAGCCCCGAGAUGGGCACUGAGACAAGGGCCCAGGCCCUACGGGGCGCAGCAGGCGCGAAUACUCCGCAAUGCGGGCAACCGCGACGGGGCUACCCCGAGUGCCGGGCGAAGAGCCCGGCUUUUGCCCGGUCUAAAAAGCCGGGCGAAUAANCGGGGGGCAAGUCUGGUGUCANCCGCCGCGGUAAUACCAGCCCCGCGAGUGGUCGGGGUGUUUACUGGGCUUAAGCGCCCGUAGCCGGCCCGGCAAGUCGCUCCUGAAAUCCCCGGGCUCAACCCGGGGGCUGGGGCGAUACUGCCGGGCUAGGGGGCGGGAGAGGCCGAGGGUACUCCCGGGGUAGGGGCGAAAUCCGAUAAUCCCGGGAGGACCACCAGUGGCGAAAGCGCUCGGCUGGAACGCGCCCGACGGUGAGGGGCGAAAGCCGGGGGAGCGAACCGGAUUAGAUACCCGGGUAGUCCCGGCUGUAAACGAUGCGGGCUAGGUGUUGGGCGGGCUUUGAGCCCGCCCAUGUGCCGCAGGGAAGCCGUUAAGCCCGCCGCCUGGGGAGUACGGCCGCAAGGCUGAAACUUAAAGGAAUUGGCGGGGGAGCACCACAAGGGGUGGAGCCUGCGGCUUAAUUGGAGUCAACGCCGGG